UUAGGUAGAUGUCAUGGUAACUUGGCUCCUUUAAAGCAGUAGUUGCCAUAGACAGAUGGUUGAGUUUUUGAGUAGAUGAGUACCAAAGCAAAGUACAGUCAGCAGGUUUUUAAAUCAAGACAGGUGGUAGAUAUUACUCUCUGAAAACUCAUACACUCCUAAUAUACAUACCUAAUAUCCAGCCAAAUACAUAAUUUUUCUCCCUAAAGAACUGCAUUUUCUACAAAUGAGACCUCAGAUGUGAAAGGAAUCCUAAUUCUAGAAGAGACAGAAUUCAAAAUAAAAUGUUGGCUUGUUUGUAUGGAACCUGGAAAGGUGAUUUACCUGCUACAGAAUCACAUAUCAAAUUAAAACCUGGUUUAUGAGAUCUGUUGAAAUAACAUUUUGGAUACAUCUCCGAAAUCUAUCCAAUCUAGUAUUUUUCUUUAAUAAAACAGGAAUUAUUUUAUACACCAACCCUCAAGUCUUGACUGGUUAAAGAUUUUAAUAAAUGAGUCUGGUUGAUACUGUUCAUUGCCAUUCUUAAGUUUAUAGACAGGGAUGAUUUUCUUUCAUUUUUGCAAACUAGAAGUCAAAACUGUUUUAAUCUCUUUACAUGGAAGGCUUACCUUAUGCUUUAGUUACUUUCUCUGAUCCUUCUAACUAAUUGCCAAAUUUCUGGCACAAACACCUUGUGGCUUGAUAUAGCAAUAAUAGUAUGAUGUAGUAAAAACAAACUUUUAGAUAAGACAGAACUAAGUUUAAACCCUGGUUCAGGUACCUUAGCAAGAUACUAAGGAUUUAUAGUUCAUAUAGUUGUUGGAAGGCUUAAGUAACAUUCUGUAUGUAAAGUGAUCAUCAGAAAGCCUGACACAUAGUAAGCAUUCAUUAUAAAUAUUAGUAUUUGCAAAAGGAUGUUCUUUUCUGUUUACUUGCCAAUAUUCUACUUGAUUAUCUUUGUCUGUCUCCUAUAGUACACUGGACCAGUAUGCUCAAGAAAUAGUUAAUAAUCUUUUUGUAGAUAGUAACAGCUCAAAUUGUGAUUUUUUUUCCCCUAAUGUUUUACUUUACAUGUGUUAGCACUUUACACUAUUUUGCCUUUCACAAAGUGGAGAAAAUCAACUGCAAUACCACCAUCCUCCAUCAUUUUGACAUUGAUGAAAACUUUUACCAGUGUUAGUGAACUUAGCAGAUUUCUUGAUGCUACUGUUUAAAAAUCCUUUAGAAGGAGUUCCCGUUCCGUUGUUGGGGAGGGUGAGAGGAGGAGGUGCGGACCGCCAUUGGAACCUCCCUGCACAUGCAUGGGCUCUCAGAGGGCAGGGCGCCUCUGGUGCCAGCUACAGGUGGCAAGAGGACACUUGCUUGGGCUAUGGGAGACCAGGCACUUGUGUGGGCUACAGGUGGCUGGGCACCUCUUGUGUGGGCUAAGGGAACCAGGAGGGCUCAGUGUGACAUGGUGCCUCUUGCGUGAUCUACAGGUGGCAGGGACAAACCACAGCAGUCAUCUCAGACACCAGAGGGAGGAGUGGCAUGCCACCACUAGGGGUCUGUGAAUAGGCUCCACCUGCGGCCCCCGUCACCUCAGAGGUCGGCAAAAAAAAGAGGGCACUGCAACCGAGCACCACCCGUUGCUGCUCUCACUCCCCUGGAAACACACCUGCCCUGCUGCUGCCACUGCCAUAUACUCCAGGCAGUGCCCACACAAUCACUGCCCCUUCCUAGGACCCUACAACUAGGACCUGCCACCUUCCUGCAGGUCCUUGCUGCUAUCAAGAACUCAGCAACCAGGCACUGACUACUAGUGCUACCCACUGCCUCCUUCUCCCUGGAAACACACUCACCACUCUGGGGAUAACAGCCUGCUCACACUGAAGAAAGAGACAGCAAAUAUCCAAACUCACGUCAAAAACAAAUAGUAACCCCCCACAAAAUAUAAAGGGGCGCUCUUGCAUAGAAAUAGCUCUCCAAGACUAUAGUUUGGCUUCCCUAAACUCACAGAAAAAGAAAAACAUAAGCAAGAUGAAGAAGCUCAGGAACCAUUCUCAGUUAAAAGAACAGAAGAAUUCACCUGAAACAGCAAAAAAUCAAACAGACCUCUGCAGUCUGACACUGAAUUCAAAAGGGAGAUAGUGAAAAUUAAGGAAUUAAGGCUGAAUAUCAAGGAAUUAA
rnacentral:lncRNA from 1 species